rnacentral:rRNA from 1 species
GCCGCGUGUGUGAAGAAGGCCUUCGGGUUGUAAAGCACUUUCAGUAGGGAGGAAAGGUGAUGUGUUAAUAGCACAUUGCUGUGACGUUACCUACAGAAGAAGGACCGGCUAACUCCGUGCCAGCAGCCGCGGUAAUACGGAGGGUCCGAGCGUUAAUCGGAAUUACUGGGCGUAAAGCGUGCGCAGGCGGUUUGUUAAGCCAGAUGUGAAAUCCCCGGGCUCAACCUGGGAAUUGCAUUUGGAACUGGCGAACUAGAGUCUUGUAGAGGGGGGUAGAAUUCCAGGUGUAGCGGUGAAAUGCGUAGAUAUCUGGAGGAAUACCGGUGGCGAAGGCGGCCCCCUGGACAAAGACUGACGCUCAUGCACGAAAGCGUGGGGAGCAAACAGGAUUAGAUACCCUGGUAGUCCACGCCGUAAACGAUGUCUACUCGGAGUUUGGUGACUUAGUCACUGGGCUCCCAAGCUAACGCAUUAAGUAGACCGCCUGGGGAGUACGGCCGCAAGGUUAAAACUCAAAUGAAUUGACGGGGGCCCGCACAAGCGGUGGAGCAUGUGGUUUAAUUCGAUGCAACGCGAAGAACCUUACCUACUCUUGACAUCCACAGAAGAGACCAGAGAUGGACUUGUGCCUUCGGGAACUGUGAGACAGGUGCUGCAUGGCUGUCGUCAGCUCGUGUUGUGAAAUGUUGGGUUAAGUCCCGCAACGAGCGCAACCC